UUCAAGACUCAAUAGACCAGCCCAAAACUGGUUACUCACUGAAGCUAAGCAGGGCUGAGCCUGGUCAGUACCUGGAUGGGAGACCACAUGGGAAAACUAGGUUGUUGUGGGAA
rnacentral:rRNA from 1 species